rnacentral:misc_RNA from 1 species
AAAAGUCGUAACAAGGUAACCGUAGGUGAACCUGCGGUUGGAUCAUUAAUAAAAUGAUAAAAGCUAUGGGGUUAAACCCAUAGUUUUUAUAAACAUUUGUGAACUGUAAUUGUAUCUGGGUGGUUGAUUAAUUUCUCCACCCAUCAAUAUUUUGAACUUUUAUCUUUAAAAAUUAAAUUAUAUAAAUUAUAUAAAUUAAACAACUUUUGACAACGGAUCUCUAGGCUCUCG